CCCUUAGAUGUUCUGGGCCGCACGCGCGCUACACUGAUGCAUUCAACGAGUUACCUUGGCCGAGAGGCCUGGGCAAUCUUUUGAACGUGCAUCGUGAUAGGGAUAGAUUAUUGCAAUUAUUAAUCUUGAACGAGGAAUUCCUAGUAGACGUAGUUCAUCAGACUGCAUCGAUUACGUCCCUGCCCUUUGUACACACCGCCCGUCGCUCCUACCGAUUGAAUGCUCAGGUGAGCCAUUCGGACUUUCAUCAUGCUGGUUUCCAGUUUUGAUGAAGGAAAGUCUUGCGAACCUUAUCAUUUAGAGGAAGGAGAAGUCGUAACA
rnacentral:rRNA from 1 species